AAAGAAAAAAGAAAGCAGAAGAGGAGGAGCGUGAUGAUCUCUCUCUGAUCUCUCUGACAGAUGUGACAGUUCUCAAUUUCACUCUGUCCUAAUUAAUGAAGACAGAGCCAGUUGCUGGAUCUGGGACGAACAUCAAAGGCAACUGAAUCAUGACUCAGCUGGAAAACCAGUAGGAUUUACUAAAUGUUGUACUCUCUCCCAAAGAUAAUUAGCAUUAGCAAUCAAAGCUACUGUUGAGGAAUUUAAUUUAUGCAAAAACAAAAGGAUUUUUUUUUUUUUUUUUUUUU